GGUUUAAUUCGAAGCAACGCGAAGAACCUUACCAAGUCUUGACAUCCCGGUGACCGGACAGUAAUGUGUCCUUUUCUUCGGAACACCGGUGACAGGUGGUGCAUGGUUGUCGUCAGCUCGUGUCGUGAGAUGUUGGGUUAAGUCCCGCAACGAGCGCAACCCUUAUCCCCAGUAGCCAGCAUUUUGGAUGGGCACUCUGAGGAGACUGCCAGGGAUAACCUGGA
rnacentral:rRNA from 1 species